AAGGCUUGUAACUCAGUGGAUUUAGAGUCCGUGUUUCCGACACACGGUGUCGUGGGUUCAAAUCCCAUCAGGCCUA
rnacentral:tRNA from 1 species